UAAUACGGAGGAUGCAAGCGUUAUCCGGAUUCAUUGGGUUUAAAGGGUGCGCAGGCGGAUUGUUAAGUCAGGGGUGAAAUCCUACAGCUCAACUGUAGAACUGCCCUUGAUACUGUCAGUCUAGAGUAUAGUUGAAGUGGGCGGAAUGUGUCAUGUAGCGGUGAAAUGCUUAGAUAUGACACAGAACACCGAUCGCGAAGGCAGCUCGCUAAGCUAUAACUGACGCUCAUGCACGAAAGCGUGGGGAUCAAACAGGAUUAGAUACCCUGGUAGUCCACGCUGUAAACGAUGAUUACUCGAUGUUGGCGAUACACAGUCAGCGUCUGAGCGAAAGCAAUAAGUAAUCCACCUGGGGAGUACGAUCGCAAGAUUGAAACUCAAAGGAAUUGACGG
rnacentral:rRNA from 1 species